rnacentral:rRNA from 1 species
AUGUCGUUUGGUCUUUGCAACGCACCGGCCACCUUCCAAUGCCUGAUGAACAACAUAUUCGGCCGCUGCGUCUGUAAGUUCAUCAUCAUUUUCCUUGACGACAUAUUGGUCUUCAGCUUUGACCUGCAGGAACACGAACAACAUAUGCGCCUCACACUCGAGCUACUCCGCGAGCAUCAGCUGUUCGCCAAGGCGUCGAAGUGUUCGUUCGCCCAGAGGAGCAUCGAGUACCUGGGCCACAUCAUUUCUCAGGCUGGAGUAGCCACAGACGCAAGCAAGACGAGCGUGAUGCAAGCGUGGCCGGUGCCCUCCACACCAACUGAACUGCGCGGAUUUCUUGGCCUCACCGGCUACUAUCGCAAGUUCGUCCCACAUUACGGCAUCAUCGCGAAGCCGCUCACUCAGCUCCUGACCAAGAAGGGAUUUGAGUGGAGCGACAAGGCCCAGCAGGCGUUCGACAUGCUCAAACAAGCAAUGGUGAGCACGCCAGUGCUCGUGCUCCCCGAUUUCUCAUGCCCCUUC